rnacentral:rRNA from 1 species
GACGAACGCUGGCGGCGUGCUUAACACAUGCAAGUCGAACGGAAAGGCCCUGCUUUUGUGUGGUUCUCGCGUGGCGAACGGGUGAGUAACACGUGAGUAACCUGCCCUUGACUUUGUGAUAACUUCAGGCAACUGGGGCUAAUACCUGAUAGGAGCGCCUGCUGCAUGGUGGGGGUUGGACAGUUUCGGCGGUUGUGGAUGGACUCGCGGCUUAUCAGCUUGUUGGUGGGGUAGUGGCUUACCAAGGCUUUGACGGGUAGCCCGCCUGGGAGGGUGAACGGCGACAUGGGGACUGAGAGACGGACCAGACUCCUACGGGAGGCAGCAGUGGGGAAUAUUGCACAAUGGGCGGAAGCCUGAUGCAGAAACGCCGCGUGCGGGAUGACGGCCUUCGGGUUGUAAACCGCUUUAGCCUGUGACGAAGCGUGAGUGACGGUAAUGGGUAAAGAAGCACCGGCUAACUACGUG